CGAACCGUGCGAACGUUGUUCGGAAUCACUGGGCUUAAAGGGCGCGUAGGCGGCCUCCUAGGUCGUGGGUGAAAUCCCCCAGCUCAACUGGGGAAGUGCUUACGAUACCGGGGGGCUCGAGGGAGGAAGGGGCGGUCGGAACUGUCGGUGGAGCGGUGAAAUGCGUUGAUAUCGACAGGAACGCCGGUGGCGAAAGCGGACCGCUGGCCCUCUUCUGACGCUGAGGCGCGAAAGCCAGGGGAGCGAACGGGAUUAGAUACCCCGGUAGUCCUGGCCUUAAACGAUGGGCACUAGGUAGUGGGCUCGACCUGGGCGCACUGCCGCAGCGAAAGUCAUUAGUGCCCCGCCUGGGGAGUAUGGUCGCAAGGCUG
rnacentral:rRNA from 1 species